rnacentral:rRNA from 1 species
AGGUCCGACAUGCUACGCCGUCUGGAGGAUGGCUCGGCUUGAGCGCUGAAGAAGGGCGCGGCCAGCCGCGAAAGAGCCCCGGGUAAGCGUAUGCAGCUUUAGAACCGGGGAUUCCUGAAUGGGACUUCCUGUUGCAAUUUCCUUCGGGAACUUGUGGCGCUCCCAAAUAGGAGCGGGAACCCCCCGAACGGAAACAUCUUAGUAGGGGGAGGAAAAGAAACCAAAUGGGAUUCCCUCAGUAGCAGCGAGCGAAAAGGGAAAAGUCCAAACCGAAUCCCACAGGGAAACUUGCGGGAGAUGUAGGGUUAUGGGCCCGGCUUCCUCCUCACCGGCGAAGCUGAAGUGGCCUGGAAAGGCCCGCCAUAGAGGGUGAAAGCCCCGUAAGCGUAAGCUGGAAGGAGUUGAGCCGGAGUCCCAGAGUACCGUACCCUAGUUUUGGUGCGGAAAGUUGGGAGCCACCAACUUCCAAGACUAAAUACGUCUCAAGACCGAUAGCGCACUAGUACGGUGACGGAAAACUGAAAAGCACCCCGGAAGGGGGGUGAAAAGUGCCUGAAACCAGACGGUUACAGACGUGUGCAGCCCGGAAGGGUAGAUCCCUCCCAAAGGAACCCACCGUGAGGCGGCAGUACGAGGGAGGGGGACCAGGGUUGCACGUUCCGUCUCGAAACACGGACCGGGGAGUUCACGGCUGUGGCAAGCCUAAGGGUCUAAAGCCCGUAGGCGUAGGGAAACCAACAUGCGCGCAGCCAGCUUUAGGGCUGGUGAGGUGCGGAGUCUGAAAGGACCCGGAGUUACAGCUGUGAAACUAGAAACCGGGCGAUCUAUCCCUGGGCAGGGCGAAGCCAGGCGAAAGUCUGGUGGAGGCCCGAAAGGGUGCUGACGUGCAAUUCGUUCCCCAGACCUGGGGUUAGGGGCUAAAGACCAAUCUAGCCCGGUGAUAGCUAGUUCCCUCCGAAG